rnacentral:rRNA from 1 species
GAUGAACGCUAGCGGCAGGCUUAAUACAUGCAAGUCGAGGGGCAGCGGGAGUAGCAAUACUUGCCGGCGACCGGCGCACGGGUGCGUAACACGUAUGUAAUCUGCCCAUCACAGGAGGAUAGCCCGGAGAAAUUCGGAUUAAUACUCCAUAAUAGAAGAUAAAGCAUUUUAUUUCUUGAAAGUUCCGACGGUGAUGGAUGAACAUGCGACUGAUUAGCUAGUUGGUGAGGUAACGGCUCACCAAGGCGACGAUGCGUAGCCGACCUGAGAGGGUGAUCGGCCACACUGGGACUGAGACACGGCCCAGACUCCUACGGGAGGCAGCAGUGGGGAAUAUUGGACAAUGGGGGAAACCCUGAUCCAGCAAUGCCGCGUGAAUGAAGAAGGCCUUAGGGUUGUAAAGUUCUUUUGUCCGUGACGAUAAUGACGGUAGCGGACGAAUAAGCCCUGGCUAACUCUGUGCCAGCAGCCGCGGUAAAGUACAGUGU